rnacentral:rRNA from 1 species
GGGGCCUACGGGAGGCAGCAGUGGGGAAUCUUAGACAAUGGGCGCAAGCCUGAUCUAGCCAUGCCGCGUGAGUGAAGAAGGCCUUAGGGUCGUAAAGCUCUUUCGCCUGUGAAGAUAAUGACUGUAGCAGGUAAAGAAACCCCGGCUAACUCCGUGCCAGCAGCCGCGGUAAUACGGAGGGGGUUAGCGUUGUUCGGAAUUACUGGGCGUAAAGCGCGCGUAGGCGGACAUUUAAGUCAGAGGUGAAAUCCCAGGGCUCAACCCUGGAACUGCCCUUGAUACUGGGUGUCUUGAGUUCGAGAGAGGUGAGUGGAAUUCCGAGUGUAGAGGUGAAAUUCGUAGAUAUUCGGAGGAACACCAAUGGCGAAGGCAGAUCUCUGGGCCGUAACUGACGCUGAGGAGCGAAAGCGUAGGGAGCGAACAGGAUUAGAUACCCUGGUAGUCCACGCCCUAAACGAUGCUGACUAGUUGUUCGGGAUUUACAUCCUGAGUAACGUAGCUAACGCGUGAAGUCAGCCGCCUGGGGAGUACGGUCGCAAGAUUAAAACUCAAAGGAAUUGACGGGG